UCAUCACGGCGAGUGAACAGGGAAAAGCCCAGCACCGAAGCCUGUGGCCGGUUGGUCGCUAGGCCAUGUGGUGUUUAGGUUCGUUCGCGAAGGUGCUGCUCCAUUCCAAGUCCAGCAAUGAGUACGGUAAUGCUGACAUGGCCCGAAGAGGGUGAAAGGCCCGUUGGGGUGGAGAGGCAGAUAUGAUAGUGCCUUCCUGGAUAGACCUUGGAGUCGGGUUGUUUGUGAAUGCAGCCCAAAGUGGGUGGUAAACUCCAUCUAAGGCUAAAUACUUGCACGAGUCCGAUAGCGAACAAGUACCGUGAGGGAAAGUUGAAAAGUACUUUGAAGAGAGAGUAAAGAGUGCGUGAAACCGCUGAGAGGUAAACGGGUGGAGUUGAACUGUGAGCUCCGUGAAUUUAGCUGGUGAGUGUGGUUUGAGCUUGGUCAAAUUGGUUGAUACACGGAGUCUGCAUAGCAGCAGGUCUCCACCUUUUGGUGGGGAUGCGCGAUGCACUUAUCAAGUGUUGCGCGCUCCGGGUUUAUCGGACCAGCUUGCCAGUGCACUUUCGCAGAGCGGUCACCCCGACCGGCGUCGCUGUCUUGCUGUUGCGGUUAAACCGGCCUUGCAUUGUCCUCGUGGCUUUGUCUGGUCGGGAUGGCAGGUAGCCCGUUGGCUGGCUGGCUUGUGGCUUGCUGCAGGCGUCCGGUCCUCGGGUGUAAUUGGCUGACCGCAUCGGUUCUGUGCAGUAUGUCGGAGACGGCGGCUUGUGGUGUGUGGCGUGCGUGCCAGUCGGUUGGCGUGUCCGGGUUUGGUUAUUAUUUGCCUGUGUUCACAGGCCUAAUGAUGUCUGGGAUUCGUUCGGUCGGCGGUUGCGUGCGUGUCACUGUAUCCAGGGCCAAUAGUCUGUGGUGUUGCGGUAGCCUAUCCACCUGACCCGUCUUGAAACACGGACCAAGGAGAGUAACAUGUGUGCGAGUCAUUGGGCGUAACGAAACCCAAAGGCGAAGUGAAAGUAAAGGUCUGGCUUGAGGUCCGGACUGAGGUGAGAUCGUGUCGUGCCUCAUGCGCGGUAUCACCAAGCAUCGAGCGGCAGGCGCAUCGCCGGCCCGUCCCAUGGUGUGAUGACCCUGUCCAGAGUUUGCCAUCGGGGCGGAGCAUGAGCGCACAUGUUGAGACCCGAAAGAUGGUGAACUAUGCUUGCGCAGGUUGAAGCCAGAGGAAACUCUGGUGGAGGACCGCAGCGAUUCUGACGUGCAAAUCGAUCGUCAGACGUGAGUAUAGGGGCGAAAGACUAG
rnacentral:rRNA from 1 species